GAACGACACGGCUCUCAAAGCAAAUCUUCAAGGUGUUGAACUUCUGAUAUUCCCAUCUAACCGACUUCCUGAAAAAUCUCAACGGUGGAAUAUGAUGUUCUUCCUAUGGGGUGUCUUUAGAGUGAAGAAGGUGCAGGCAACGACUGGAAAGCCAUCUCUUGUACCCCAAGAUACUCCAAAAUUAAUCAUGCCUUUUCCGGAGAAUAUACAUUGUCUCGGACCUGUAGACAAUGUUACAAGUGGUAAUGUUCCCAUGGAUGUUGAGGUAACUACUCCAAAGAAGUCUAGCUGUCCAUUAGUUAAUGGAAAUGUUGAUUCUAUAGCGG
rnacentral:misc_RNA from 1 species